rnacentral:lncRNA from 1 species
CACACACUCCAUGAACAUAUACAUACACACAAAUAUACAAUCCUAUAGACAUAUACUUAAAGAUACAUAUACAUCUUAAAAUUCUGAUCAAUUAAUUAAAUAGCUAGAGCCCUUUAGACUCAUAUAAAUUAAUAGUGUGGAUCCUUAUUGUUUAAAUUAUUUUGAUGUGGAUGCUUCCCCUGUUUUGCCAUUAAGAAUGGGACUAAUUUUUGUUUGGAAAUAUAUAUUUUUACCAUACUGAGGAACUUGGUGUCUGUUUUUAUGAAAAUUUUUUUUUGUUCUCAGAAAUCUGAAAAAUCUCAAAAGUACAAUGAAUAAUGAUGCAUGUUCAUACACUCACCAAUCAGAAUUGAAGAUUGUUAAAAUUUUCACCAAUUGAAAUAAAAGAAGUAAAGGAUUACGGCGAAUGAUAAAGUCCUCCACUGGCAGUAUUGUUCUUGCUCCAAACCCAGAGGCCACAGACAAAACCACAGUUCAUUUGGUGGCUGAAGCUUACUGAAAACUUCCUUUCGUCUUGAUGCAGCCAGCUUUUUGGAUUACAUGGCAAGGGUGGCCUGAGCAAAGCGAUGGGAAAGAGUUGUUGGUGGAACAGUGAGUGCUUGUGACUGUGGGACUAGAGCCUUGCCUCCAGAAUUUAGCAUGCUGCUGCCCAGGAAAUUAAGCCUUCAAGUCUACAGACUUGCAAUGAGUAUGGUCGAGAUGGGAGUAUUGGGUGGUUCCAAGAAUCACUGAGAAACAAAAAUUAAUUUGGGUACUUUAGAUGCCUACUGAUGGCUGAGAAAGAGAAUAAGAAUGUUUGAAGCCUUAAAGGGUAAAAGUCAAGGAAAUGGCAGUGGCCUCUGCUAUAAACCAUAUAGGUGGAGCAGAAUGGCAGCUUGAGUUGCCAAGGAAGUCAUUCAUUCAUUCAUUCAUUCAUCUACCCAUCCAUUCAUUCAUUCACUCAUAUACCAGGCACAUCUCAUGGGCUAGCAUCUACUGAAUAAUUAACAUGUAUCAGACAGUAUUCCAAGCACUUUGCUUGCAUUAACUUAUUUAAUCCUCCAAAUGACCCAAUUAAUCUGAAGGAUGGGAGUCAGCAACACAAUGACUUAUAAGUAGUUACUUAACUUGCUCAAGCUUAUAUAGCUAUUAAAUAGUGGAGUCAGAAAUUGAACUUGGAAGUCUCACUUCAGAGUAUUUUUACUUUACCACUAAAUUGGCAAAUAAGACUGAAUUCUUGGUCUCCUGGACUUUACAUUGUAGUAGGAGAGACAGCCAAUAAACAUGCACAUGAACGUUAAAUAAAAAAUAUGAUUUCAGACAGUGAAAAAGGAUAUUAUCAGAUAAUGAUAUUGACUAACUGGAAGGGCAGUGUGUCAGAGUAGCUACUUUAGCUAGGUGGUCAAGCAUGGCCACUCAGAAAAGAUAUUUAAACCAAGAUGAAAAUGAUAAUGAGAAGCUAGAAACAUGCAGAUCUAGAAGGAGCAUGCUUCAGGCAGAAGGAAUAGCUAAAACAAGUUCUUAAGGUAGAUCUAGUAGAAUUGUUAAUGCCUUGCCUACAUCCCAAGGGCCAAGGUACACAUCCCCUGGCUUCCCUGAGUGUUGGCUGCUAUCUGCUUACAACUGCAAUUGCGCUUUCCUGCAGGAGAAUGCCUGAGAUGAUGUCCACCCUCAGGGGUGGACCACAGCCAAUGACUGAAUGGAAAAAGAUGCCAGUCUGUUGCCUUAAGCAGGGCCAUGGGAUCAUCAGGCUGAAUCUGGUCUCUGGUGGAGACUGUAUCUUUGAUUGGCGUCUUUCCUUUCUCUGUUCUAUCUCCCAAACUAUUUUGUAGGUUUGUCCUGAGAGUCCUCCCUGCAUGCACAAGAAUCCCCAUCACAGGCUCUCCACUGGGAAACCCCAUCUGGGACAAAGGGAAAGAGCUUGGUGCAAUGGAAGGAUAGCAAGGGGACCAGCAUGGCUAAAGCCCAAACUUAAAACAAAUCUUUUGUAGAGUCAGGAUC